rnacentral:rRNA from 1 species
AGCAGCCGCGGUAAUUCCAGCUCCAAUAGCGUAUAUUAAAGUUGUUGCAGUUAAAAAGCUCGUAGUUGAAUUUCGGGAUUAGUACGUUGGUCGUGCCUUCGGUACGUACUGGUGUUACUGNUUCCUACCUUCUGACGAACCAUCAUGUCAUUAAUUUGGUGUGGCGGGGAAUCAGGACUGUUACUUUGAAAAAAUUAGAGUGUUUAAAGCAGGCUCGCGCUUGAAUACAUUAGCAUGGAAUAAUGAAAUAGGACGUUGACCCUAUUUUGUUGGUUUCUAGGAUUGACGUAAUGAUUAAUAGGGAUAGUUGGGGGCAUUAGUAUUCAAUUGUCAGAGGUGAAAUUCUUGGAUUUAUUGAAGACUAACUACUGCGAAAGCAUUUGCCAAGGAUGUUUUCAUUAAUCAAGAACGAAAGUUAGGGGAUCGAAGACGAUCAGAUACCGUCGUAGUCUUAACCAUAAACUAUGCCCGACUAGGGAUCGGAUGAUGUUAUUUUUAAUGACUCA